rnacentral:rRNA from 1 species
AGUGGCGAACGGGUGAGUAACGCGUAAGUAACCUGCCCUCAAGUAGGGGAUAACUCUGAGAAAUUAGAGCUAAUACCGUAUGUGGUGGUAGGGGUAAUGCCCUAUUACUAAAGCCUUAGGGCGCUUGGGGAGGGGCUUGCGUCCGAUUAGCUAGUUGGUAGGGUAACGGCUUACCAAGGCGAUGAUCGGUAGCUGGUUUGAGAGGACGGCCAGCCACACUGGGACUGAGACACGGCCCAGACUCCUACGGGAGGCAGCAGCAAGGAAUAUUGUGCAAUGGGCGAAAGCCUGACACAGCGACACCGCGUGGGGGAUGAAGGCCUUCGGGUUGUAAACCCCUUUUCUCAGGGAAGAAUAAUGACGGUACCUGAGGAAUAAGUCUCGGCUAACUACGUGCCAGCAGCCGCGGUAAGACGUAGGAGGCGAGUGUUAUCCGGAUUUACUGGGCGUAAAGAGGGCGUAGGCGGCUUUUCAAGUCGGAUGUAAAAUCUCCUGGCUUAACUAGGAGGGGUCAUUCGAUACUGUUAGGCUAGAGGGCAGCAGAGGGAGGUGGAAUUCCCGGCGUAGUGGUGAAAUGCGUAGAUAUCGGGAGGAACACCAGUGGCGAAGGCGGCCUCCUAGGCUGUUUCUGACGCUGAGGCCCGAAGGCGUGGGGAGCGAACAGGAUUAGAUACUCUGGUAGUCCACGCUGUAAACGAUGGAUACUAGGUAUGGGGGGUAUUGACCCCCUCCGUGCCGAAGCUAACGCG